CUGAAGAAAUGGCAAGGUUGAGCUGGCUCUUAGGAGUACGUGCUCGCCCUGUCGCUUUUUCUACUUUCCACUGUGCACCUUAUGUAGGCUUAUGAUGACGAUGGAAGGCUUGUCCUUUCGGACCCUUCGUGAGCCUAUGUCUAUACACACUCUAUAAAGUCUUAUGAAUGUCUUAUUGUUGGUCUUGACCGACCGAUAAAACCUCUAUA
rnacentral:misc_RNA from 1 species